GUUAGUGUGGUACAGUGGGUUGAGUGUUGGACUAUGACUCUGGAGAUCAGGGUUCAAAUCCCUGCUUGGCCA